AGGUAGCAUAAUCAUUUGUUAUCUAAAUGAUAACUAGUAUGAAUGGUCUGACGAGAAAAUAACUUUCUAAAAAGAAAAGAUGAAAAUUUAUUUAAAAGUAAAAAAGCUUUAAAGCUUUAGAAAGACGAGAAGACCCUAGAACCUGUUCUAUUCAUAUAGUUUGUUGGGGUGACAUUAUUCAAAACAAAUAACUAUUAAAACUUAUUAAUUGACUCUAUCUAUCUUUAUUAAAAAAAAAAAAGGUACUCUAGGGAUAACAGCAUAAUCUUCUUCUAGAGCCCUAAUCGACAAGAAAGAUUUUGACCUCGAUGUUGAAUUGAUAUUUCUUUCUAAAGCAGAA
rnacentral:rRNA from 1 species